CAUCAUCAUCACCUUCACCAUCAUCAUAAUCAUCACCAUCAACAUUAUCACCAUCAUCACCACCACCUUUCUCUGCUGGUCUUGCAGCUGAUUUUGACUAUGUUCAACAAUACAGGGAUUAGAAUAAUGCUCCGUUUAGAGAAGUUUUUGUAAUCUCUUAAGAAUACUAAUGAAAAAGUAAGCAAAGUUUGAAAAACACAUACAGAUAAAAGAGUCUAAAAUCAAAUUCAAAAGCACAAUGCUGGGAUCUUCAUCAUUGGUGUCGCAAGUUCUCAAUUAUUUUCAUGUCCAUGUUUCUUUACACAGUGCUUAAUAUGAAAUAUAUACUGAAAUGUCACAUUCAUACUCCUCAUAGAAUCAUGGAGAUGAAAAAAGGAUAGAUGGACAUAUUAUUACACGCGAUUUCAAAAGAUAAAUUGAGAAUUUCAAUAAAAUUGUUAAAAAUGACAUUGUGCUAUCACACAGUCAAAUCUUGCUGCGCUCAUAUGACUGUGACACAGACUCCAUAAAGAAUGAGUGACAUUCAAUUCAAAUUUUCUUUAGUUAUUCAGCAUUUUAUUUUUUUAUACAUCUGUUAGAAACAGCAUAGGAAACAUUGAACUCUGUACAAGGAAACAUUAAACUUUGUACAUAUACAUUAUGCAUAUCAUUUUUGUACAAAACUUUACUAAGACGGGAACACACAGACAUUAAACAAUUUAAACAAUGUUUUUUUUUGGUCCUGCCAGCAUAUGUCAAUUAUUUUUACAUUCAAUACAUCACAAUACCUUUCUAUUAACACAUCUUUAAAAGGGUGCUCCAGAUACUCAUGAUAAUAAUGAUUUUCGACACAAAGGGAAAGUCAGACAAACAAGAUAGUCAGUUUCAUCAUAAUACAAUGAAUAACAAGGUCAUGACAUUUUAAAAUUUGCAUUAAUAGUACAACAGUACUGCGCAUGUCUUCAUAAUAAGAGAACUGAUGUGUAAUCUCCCCACCUAUUUUUUACAUGAUAUUGUCAUUCAGAUGUUUCAUCGAAAAUGUAAAAACAAGACUGGAGUCAAUGGGUAGGAUAAUCAUUGCUGCAACUUAUUUUGUUGCGAGGGAGACAUGUCAAACACAUAUGAAUGUUUUAUUCAUGAGAACUUCUAUUUUUUCUCUUUUUCAUUUCAGUUUGAGUAUAUUUAAUUUUCUUGAAGCACCAUGUGCACCAAAAGCUGGACCUGUGCGCUAUAUCAGAAGCCACCAUUAUUAUCAAGUAUGAAAAUAUGAUUUCAUGCUAUAAAAUAAAAAGUGAAUAGGCAUUAAUGCGAUGGUGCAAGAUUUUUCACAUUAAAAGGUGAAAGAAUGAUGGUCUGAAUAGUGUCUGAAUAUUCGCUAUUCGUAUUGUACAACGCCUCAGAAGUUGGCGAGAAUACGAACAAUCACCAUUUUUUUCCUAUAUUAAUCAAUGACAAAGAAUUAUUCAAGAAGUUGAUACCAUAAUCUAAACUGAAAUUCAGCUGAUGAAAUAACUAUAUCCCAUUUAUGCAUAAAUUAUUGGGUAACAAAACAUUUAAAAGAGCACAAACUUGUGAAAAAAAAGUUAUGGUUAUGGUAUCCUUACUCAUUAAAAAAAGUCCUUCCUUGUUCAGAAAGAAAGAACCCCCCCCCCACUCCUACAGAUAAUUCUCUUUAUAAAAGAGUGGUACACAAUACAAUGACGGGGGUAAGCGAAAUACAACUGACAUCUUUACACAUUUGACAUUACAAAA